CUCCAAACACCGCCCCACGAGGGGUCAGGGCUUUAACCUGCAGAUGACAGAACCCACUCCACGCAACUCAGUCUCCCGGUCCUUGUAAAUGGCAUCAUUCCGUUGCUGAAACCAAAACGGAAGCUUGACUUCCUCCUCCUGCACAUUCGCUGCCUUUUCCUGCUGUGCCCGGUCCCUCCAGGGCACGUAGUCCCAUCUGUCCCGUUACCCAUGACGGCGGCCCCCCACCCAGAUGCCGCCACCAUCACUGGCCUGGAGCACGUCCCCGUCUAAGCCCUGCCCUCUCUUUCCUUUCUCCAGCUCACUCUCCAAGGAGCCUCCCCAACUGCGCGGCCUCAGCUCCAGGCCACGGCCUCUGGACAACUCCCCCUCCCCCACCGUCUCCCCCAAGAGACGCAGGCUCUGAUCUCCCCCACGCCCACCUCCCCACUCAGCUCAGGCACACCAAGCUUCUCUGUCCCUUGACCCCACAGGUCUCAUUGGCUUCUUUCCUUGAGGGGCUCGUUCUUUCUCGGAAGCCUCGAGAUGCGUGUCACCUCCCCAGAGAGACGAUCCCCGGGGGUUCCGUGUACAGGGACCUCUCUCGCGCUCGGUUUGCCUCCUCUAGACGCAUCUCACGUGAUUCGACCCUUCAUUCCUUUUUUAUUCACCGUUUAUCCCUCCUCUUGCGACAGCGGUUCCGUGGGGGCAGCAGGCGUCUCCACUGGGAGACUCUCCACGCCGCUGGGACCUGCCUCACAAAUUCUUCUCCCGCAUAGGUGGUGACACAGUCUCAGCAGAUUUCCCUUCGCCGGAC
rnacentral:lncRNA from 9 species